CGUGAGCAACCUGCCUUUAAGAGGGGGAUAACGUUUGGAAACGAACGCUAAUACCGCAUAACAUAGAAGAUUCGCAUGUUUCUUCUAUCAAAGAUUUAUCGCUUAAAGAUGGGCUCGCGUCUGAUUAGCUGGUUGGUGAGGUAACGGCUCACCAAGGCGACGAUCAGUAGCCGUACUGAGAGGUAGAACGGCCACAUUGGGACUGAGACACGGCCCAGACUCCUACGGGAGGCAGCAGUGGGGAAUAUUGCACAAUGGAGGGAACUCUGAUGCAGCGAUGCCGCGUGAGGGAAGAAGGUCUUAGGAUUGUAAACCUCUGUCUUCAGGGACGAUAAUGACGGUACCUGAGGAGGAAGCUCCGGCUAACUAC
rnacentral:rRNA from 1 species